CAGAAUGAAAUGCUGCUGUGUACCAUGCUGGGCCUGAGAGGGAGUGUUGUCAUCAGAAAUAGAGUCAGAGAUGAGCAACAUUAUCGUGCAUACAGCAGCAUGUGGGCAUGACCCAGGUAAUCUGAGAGCUUUCAAGAGGAUGGUGGAAAAAGUUCAAAACUUAACUUUCAUGAAGGAAAAACUCCAGGCAGAAGUGGAACACUUUUAAUCUCAACAAGGGGGAAACAGAGACAGGAUGACCCCAGGGGAAUUGUUGGUCAGCCAGCCUAUCCUAAUCCGCAGGCAAGUUUCUGGCCAAUGAAGAGACUUUGUCUCAAAACAUAACAUGGACACUAUCUAAGGGAUGACAUUACAAGGUUGACAUCUGGCUUCUA